UAACUUGUAUGUUUUCAAGCCAGUGAGUGAUAUUCAAUGAGCAAAACUUAGUAAACUGUGUGUUGAGUUAAAGAAAGCGUUACAUGUCUAGCCUUUCUUCUUACAAUAACUAUCUAUAUGAUGUGAAGUAAUGUUAAAUGGUAUCAAGGUCAGAUACGGGUCCGUUAGUCGUAUAAUAAAAAUAACAUAUAGAAAUGUGUAUGUGUGUUUCAUGAUUGUAUGCUUUCAUUGACGCAAGUAUCACAGAUAUUUUGUAGACUACAUUCUGAACACAUUAUAUCACUAAUGUGGUCCUCAAAGAUUUAUGUUCCUGUUGCCUGUUGAUGACUGAAUAACAAAAACAAACACGAAUAAGAAAGCCAUAAAAGACAACGUCUUAUGGCGGCUUAUCUUCAUGUGUGAGAUUAGAAACUGUUUGUUAGAAAAUAUUUUUCAACUUCUCCAACAGUAGAAUAUUCUCUAUAUGAAGUUUUGCGGUGGGCUAGCCAGCGGUAAACUUAUGGACUCACAACACUAAAAUCCGUGGUUCGAUUCCUCCAGGUGGACAGAGCUCAGAUGGCCAAACUGUGUAUUCUCAUGCUUGUACAUGAGCAAAACAUGAGGCCACGUUGGGAUAGAACUGACACAGGCUUGUGCAUAACGAGGGCCAGGUUUACUCGGGGCAACUAGACUAGAUUGGAAGAUUUCCAGAGAAUUUAGAGACUUUGAUGACUUUCCUGGGCUUGAUUUUGCUUUCUUCACGUUAACUUUCACUGUUAAUGAACUGGUUUUAAAGAUAGUGAAACUUAAUACACCUUCUUUAGAGGAAGGUAGAGUUUGUUUAAUGUUACAGUUUAACCUGUUUUAUGUUUAAUUAAAUUGUUUGUGUUAUUUUCUAUUUAGACUUUAGUUUAUAUUUUGUUUAACUUAACUUUUUGGGUUAUUUUUCAUUUGAAUUUUAGCUUAUAGUGGGGAGCACGUUCUCCUGAUAAGAGAACCACAUAUUUUACCAUUUUUACAUAUCCACGAAAUACAGUUUCCCUUUUGUAUGCUUUAAUUUUGUAUUAUGUUUUGUAAAAUAAAGAUUUUGGAUUUGGG